CCCUUAGAUGUUCUGGGCCGCACACGCGCUACACUGAAGGAGGCAGCGUGUACUCCUGGAUCGAAAGAUUUGGGUAACCCGCGAAUCUCCUUCGUGCUAGGGAUUGAGGUUUGCAAUUAUCCUUCAUGAACGAGGAAUUCCCAGUAAGUGCAAGUCAUAAGCUUGCGCUGACUACGUCCCUGCCCUUUGUACACACCGCCCGUCGCUACUACCGAUUGAAUGAUUUAGUGAGGACUUCGGACUGGGACCGAUGCGGCUUUCGGGCUGCGUCGGUAUUCUGGAAAGAUGUCCAAACUGUAACAUUUAGAGGAAGUAAAAGUCGUAACA
rnacentral:rRNA from 1 species